UUCCAUGUGUACGGUGCAAAUGCGCGGAUAUGGAGGAACACCAGUGCGAAGCGACUUUCUGGUCUGUAACUGACGCUGAUGUCAAACGUGGGGAUCAAACAGGAUUAGAUACCCUGGUAGUCCACGCCGUAAACGAUGAGUGCUAAGUGUUAGGGGGUUUCCGCCCCUUAGGUGCUGCACU
rnacentral:rRNA from 1 species